UACGUAGGAUGCAAGCGUUGUCCGGAAUUAUUGGGCGUAAAGAGCGCGCAGGCGGUUCGUCAAGUUUGUUGUGAAAUAUCCCGGCUUAACCGGGAGGGGCCAUUUGAAACUGACGGACUAGAGUGGAGCAGAGGACAGUGGAAUUCCCGGUGUAGUGGUGAAAUGCGUAGAGAUCGGGAGGAACAUCAGUUGCGAAGGCGGCUCUCUGGACCAGCACUGACACUGAGGCACGAAAGCGUGGGGAGCAAACAGG
rnacentral:rRNA from 1 species